rnacentral:rRNA from 1 species
UACAGAGGGUGCGAGCGUUGUCCGGAAUCACUGGGCGUAAAGGGCGCGUAGGUGGCGCGACAAGUCAGUGGUGAAAGCUCGACGCUCAACGUCGAGUCGGCCACUGAGACUGUUGGGCUUGAGCACUGUAGAGGCUAAUGGAAUUCCGGGUGUAGCGGUGGAAUGCGUAGAGAUCCGGAAGAACACCGGUGGCGAAGGCGGUUAGCUGGGCAGUUGCUGACACUGAGGCGCGACAGCGUGGGGAGCAAACAGGG